rnacentral:rRNA from 1 species
AAAUUGAAGAGUUUGAUCAUGGCUCAGAUUGAACGCUGGCGGCAGGCCUAACACAUGCAAGUCGAGCGGUAGCACAGAGAGCUUGCUCUCGGGUGACGAGCGGCGGACGGGUGAGUAAUGUCUGGGAAACUGCCUGAUGGAGGGGGAUAACUACUGGAAACGGUAGCUAAUACCGCAUAACGUCGCAAGACCAAAGUGGGGGACCUUCGGGCCUCAUGCCAUCAGAUGUGCCCAGAUGGGAUUAGCUAGUAGGUGGGGUAACGGCUCACCUAGGCGACGAUCCCUAGCUGGUCUGAGAGGAUGACCAGCCACACUGGAACUGAGACACGGUCCAGACUCCUACGGGAGGCAGCAGUGGGGAAUAUUGCACAAUGGGCGCAAGCCUGAUGCAGCCAUGCCGCGUGUGUGAAGAAGGCCUUCGGGUUGUAAAGCACUUUCAGCGGGGAGGAAGGCGUUAAGGUUAAUAACCUCAUCCGAUUGACGUUACCCGCAGAAGAAGCACCGGCUAACUCCGUGCCAGCAGCCGCGGUAAUACGGAGGGUGCAAGCGUUAAUCGGAAUUACUGGGCGUAAAGCGCACGCAGGCGGUCUGUCAAGUCGGAUGUGAAAUCCCCGGGCUCAACCUGGGAACUGCAUUCGAAACUGGCAGGCUAGAGUCUUGUAGAGGGGGGUAGAAUUCCAGGUGUAGCGGUGAAAUGCGUAGAGAUCUGGAGGAAUACCGGUGGCGAAGGCGGCCCCCUGGACAAAGACUGACGCUCAGGUGCGAAAGCGUGGGGAGCAAACAGGAUUAGAUACCCUGGUAGUCCACGCCGUAAACGAUGUCGAUUUGGAGGUUGUGCCCUUGAGGCGUGGCUUCCGGAGCUAACGCGUUAAAUCGACCGCCUGGGGAGUACGGCCGCAAGGUUAAAACUCAAAUGAAUUGACGGGGGCCCGCACAAGCGGUGGAGCAUGUGGUUUAAUUCGAUGCAACGCGAAGAACCUUACCUGGUCUUGACAUCCACAGAACUUUCCAGAGAUGGAUUGGUGCCUUCGGGAACUGUGAGACAGGUGCUGCAUGGCUGUCGUCAGCUCGUGUUGUGAAAUGUUGGGUUAAGUCCCGCAACGAGCGCAACCCUUAUCCUUUGUUGCCAGCGGUCCGGCCGGGAACUCAAAGGAGACUGCCAGUGAUAAACUGGAGGAAGGUGGGGAUGACGUCAAGUCAUCAUGGCCCUUACGACCAGGGCUACACACGUGCUACAAUGGCAUAUACAAAGAGAAGCGACCUCGCGAGAGCAAGCGGACCUCAUAAAGUAUGUCGUAGUCCGGAUUGGAGUCUGCAACUCGACUCCAUGAAGUCGGAAUCGCUAGUAAUCGUAGAUCAGAAUGCUACGGUGAAUACGUUCCCGGGCCUUGUACACACCGCCCGUCACACCAUGGGAGUGGGUUGCAAAAGAAGUAGGUAGCUUAACCUUCGGGAGGGCGCUUACCACUUUGUGAUUCAUGACUGGGGUGAAGUCGUAACAAGGUAACCGUAGGGGAACCUGCGGUUGGAUCACCUCCUUACCUUAAAGAA